UACAGGGGGGCAAGCGUUGUUCGGAAUUACUGGGCGUAAAGGCCAGUAGGCGGCCAACUAAGUCACACGUGAAAUCCCCAGGCUUAACCUGGGAACUGCGUGUGAUACUGGAUGGCUUGAAUUCGGGAGAGGGAUGCAGAAUUCCAGGUGUAGCGGUGAAAUGCGUAGAUAUCUGGAGGAAUACCGGUGGCGAAGGCGGCAUCCUGGACCGACAUUGACGCUGAACGGC
rnacentral:rRNA from 1 species